GACGAACGCUGGCGGCGUGCCUAAUACAUGCAAGUCGAACGAAACUUUCUUACACCGAAUGCUUGCAUUCACCGUAAGAAGUUGAGUGGCGGACGGGUGAGUAACACGUGGGUAACCUGCCUAAAAGAAGGGGAUAACACUUGGAAACAGGUGCUAAUACCGUAUAUCUCUAAGGAUCGCAUGAUCCUUAGAUGAAAGAUGGUUCUGCUAUCGCUUUUAGAUGGACCCGCGGCGUAUUAACUAGUUGGUGGGGUAACGGCCUACCAAGGUGAUGAUACGUAGCCGAACUGAGAGGUUGAUCGGCCACAUUGGGACUGAGACACGGCCCAAACUCCUACGGGAGGCAGCAGUAGGGAAUCUUCCACAAUGGACGCAAGUCUGAUGGAGCAACGCCGCGUGAGUGAAGAAGGUCUUCGGAUCGUAAAACUCUGUUGUUAGAGAAGAACACGAGUGAGAGUAACUGUUCAUUCGAUGACGGUAUCUAACCAGCAAGUCACGGCUAACUACGUGCCAGCAGCCGCAGUAACAC
rnacentral:rRNA from 1 species